ACGUUAGCGGCGGACGGGUGAGUAACACGUGGGUAACCUACCUAUAAGACUGGGAUAACUUCGGGAAACCGGAGCUAAUACCGGAUAAUAUUUCGAACCGCAUGGUUCGAUAGUGAAAGGUGGUUUUGCUAUCACUUAUAGAUGGACCCGCGCCGUAUUAGCUAGUUGGUAAGGUAACGGCUUACCAAGGCGACUAUACGUAGCCGACCUGAGAGGGUGAUCGGCCACACUGUAACUGAGACACGGUCCAGACUCCUACGGGAGGCAGCAGCG
rnacentral:rRNA from 1 species